CCUGGGGCUCUCUGAACGCUCCUGGUUCAACGCAGACGCCGAAGAAACCUCGCUGAGCCUCAAAGGGAGCAGCCAAUCACGUCUUUCCAUUUCUUCAGCCAACCUCUCAACGUCAAGAAAUCCGAUUGGAUCACUUCGGAGUGACCGUACGUGUUGAGAAACAAGCCUGUGGGGCGAAUUGGCUUGGCGAGGAGAGCGCUGCACACAACAGCGAGGAGGAUAAUGCUGGAGCUUUGCAAACCUCUGAUCAGGCUGCCUCUCCAGCGCUGGGCCCCACACACUUUAAGGAGCAGGUCGAGGCCUCCAAGAGGGUGUGGAUGAGGGUGAGCAGGGAUGAGGGAAUCCAGCGUGGAGAAGCCGGGAUUGUUCUGCUCAGAACAGAGAAGAUUGAGAGUAACUUUGAAGCUCAAGUUGCACUUUCGAAGUUAUCGGUCUCUGCUACGAUCGGAACAAUAAAUAUAAAUGAAAAGGAGGGUGAACAUGUGCCCGAGGACUCGAAUUGGGACUGUUAUGCUGGGAACGGAGGACAAAAUUGGGCUCUUUCAAACAGCUAGAAUGGGCUUGACAGGCCAAAUGGCCUCCGCCUGUGCUGCAAGAUUCAGUGGUUCUAAGUCGGUCCUGAAAAUUACCUCAUUGAUCAAGUUUUUAGUCAUUCACAUAAUGACUCUCAACCUGGUCCAAUUUAUCUAGUUAGUUAUAAGUGGUUUUCAUUGACAUUGUACGAGAUCCAAAAGCUCUACAUAACAGCACAGAGCUGUAUAAAAUAACUG